AGCAGCCGCGGUAAUUCCAGCUCCAAUAGCGUAUAUUAAAGUUGUUGCAGUUAAAAAGCUCGUAGUUGAAUUUCGGGGUUAGUAGGUUGGUCAUGCCUCUGGUAUGUACUGGUCUCACUGAUUCCUCCUUCCUGAUGAGCCGUAAUGCCAUUAAUUUGGUGUUGCGGGGAAUUUGGACUGUUACUUUGAAAAAUUAGAGUGUUUAAAGCAAGCUAACGCUUGAAUACAUUAGCAUGGAAUAAUGAAAUAGGACGUUCGAUCCUAUUUUGUUGGUUUCUAGGAUUGACGUAAUGAUUAAUAGGGAUAGUUGGGGGCAUUAGUAUUCAAUUGUCAGAGGUGAAAUUCUUGGAUUUAUUGAAGACUAACUACUGCGAAAGCAUUUGCCAAGGAUGUUUUCAUUAAUCAAGGACGAAAGUUAGGGGAUCGAAGACGAUCAGAUACCGUCGUAGUCUUAACCAUAAACUAUGCCGACUAGGGAUCGGAUGAUGUUAAUUUUUAAUGACUCAUUCGGCGCCUUACG
rnacentral:rRNA from 1 species